rnacentral:rRNA from 1 species
GAUGAACGCUGGCGGCGUGCCUAAUACAUGCAAGUCGAGCGAACAGAUGAGUAGCUUGCUCCGCUGACGUUAGCGGCGGACGGGUGAGUAACACGUGGAUAACCUACCUAUAAGACUGGGAUAACUUCGGGAAACCGGUGCUAAUACCGGAUAAUAUAUUGAACCGCAUGGUUCAAUAGUGACAGACGGUUUUGCUGUCACUUAUAGAUGGAUCCGCGCCGCAUUAGCUAGUUGGUAAGGUAACGGCUUACCAAGGCAACGAUGAGUAGCCGACCUGAGAGGGUGAUCGGCCACACUGGAACUGAGACACGGUCCAGACUCCUACGGGAGGCAGCAGUAGGGAAUUUUCGGCAAUGGGCGAAAGCCUGAUGGAGCAAUGCCGCGUGAGUGAUGAAGGUCUUCGGAUCGUAAAACUCUGUUAUCAGGGAAGAAAAAAUGUGUACGUAACUAUGCACGUCAUGACGGUACCUAAUCAGAAAGCCCCGGCUAACUACGUG